CUCAAGCAUUUAUUCUUAAGUAUUCUACAGAGAGAAAGAACUAUUUAUGGCGACACCUUGAGUUAACUAUUUGGAUUUAGGCUAAAAGUUAAUUUAAGGAGCAAAUAUUUGUGUUUUCUGAAAACAGCAUGCCUUUACAGUGUGGUAGAAUGUUGGGGAAAUACUUCAGUGCUCUUCAUUAAUUUUCUAAUGCAAGAAGAAUACAUGUUUAUCACAGAAAUCUUAGAAUGAACAGACCCUCUCAAAUUGCCUGCAAUCCCACCAAUCAAAUGUAACCAGUCUUAUUCUUUUGGGAUAUGUUAUUCUAGAUAUAUAUGUGUGCGUAAAGUUAAAAUUUAUAUUGAAGUGUAUACACUUCGCUCCUAGAAUUUUCACUUCCUAAUAAAUCAUGCAUGUUGCCUUGUCUUGAAAACAAAAACCCCACUUGAUUUUAUACUGUCACUUUAAAGGUUUGCUUAGUAUUUCGUUAUAGGACAUUAUUUAUGUAACUAUUUCCUUAUUUGUGGUUAUCUUGGGUGUUCCCAGUUUUUCACGUUUCAAACAACAACUCUGUGAUGAACAUCCUUAUAGCUAACUCUUUGCCCACAUGAUUAAUGAUUUUCCUAGAAGUGCUUCCCAGAUUUGAAAUUGCUGAAUCCAAGGUUUUUCUUGUUUUAAGUCACAUUUAACCAAAUUUUCCUCUGUUGAGAACUUCCCAUCAGCUCUGGGCAUGGUUGUGCUUUUACUGUUGUGACUACAGCUGCUGCUGUUAUUAUUAUUAUUAUUAUUUAACAUUCUGGUGGUUUCAGUUUUGACCGUGACUCCGUUUUCUUUCCUACCCACUUCUGUUGCGCCUGAUUUGGGCCUUUGGCCAUUGCCUUUAGGGAAAAAAAAAUAACACAGCUGGUAGAUAUGUCAUCUGUCUGAGUCUUCCUCAGCUGGGCUCCUGGGUGUAACUGAUCUGAUCCUCUUUGAGUAUCCCUUCUGAGUGUUGUAAGUGUGCAGUGGUAAUGAGUCAUAGUGCCUCUCCACACAGGAGGAGUGCUAAGUAAGUGUUUCCCUUGCAGACCAACCAGGCAUCUCUGGGCUUCUAAGGCAGCUAGGCAAUGCUGAAUAAUUAAUUGGUGUCCAGGGAGAUAUUAAUUGCUAUGGUUGUAUAUUUUUUUGGGCUCAAUGCCAAUUACAGUUUGAUUAUUGAGAAAUCCUUACCAAGGAUAAAAAUGUUUAGAAGUAAAUGUAUUGAUGGCAUAGAUAGGCAUUGGUUCUCAAUAUUAAUAUGGAGGGUAAUUUGGCUUAAUUUUGGGUGAGGCUUCACCAUCUAGAUGACUUUGAUUUUAGCCAUUAACCAUGCACUUGUUGGCGCUGCAAACCGUAAUUAAUUUAGCUCAAGUUAUUCCUUUUGAUAUAAAAAGCUGCAGGAUAGAUGGUCAUUAAUCACAUCAAGAUUCCUUGUAGGGUUUUGGAAAGAACAUUUGAUUACUGUGGGUAGACAGAAGAAGUGACUGCUGUGCCUUGCCUUCUGGAAUGAAUGAUACUAAUUUUUAGAAUUCUGGCCUCUGACUCUGAGGUGGCAGUUUGAUUCUGAACCCUCAAGAUGCCAUUUACACAAACCUAGACCAGCAAAAUGCUUUGUGUAUAUCACAUGGUUUUUUUCUUUUUUGUUUGUUUUGUUUUGUUUUUAAAGUAAGCUCUUUGCCCAACAUGGGGCUUGAACUCAUGACCCAGAGAUCAAGAGUUCCGUGCUGCCCUGAUUGAGUCAGCCCCCUGCCUUCCCCUUUGAAAAGUAAACUCCCCCCUUUAAAAGUAAACUCUACCCCUAACCUGGGGCUUGGGGUUUGGGGCUCGGGGCUCAAACUCAUGACUCCGAGAUCAAGAGUUGUGUGCUCUACCGACCGAGGCAGCCAGGCACUCCAACAUGUUGUGUUCUUUAAUGUCUCGGUCACAGCAUUGGGUGAAGAAAAAAGGGAUUGACAAAAAGGUGCUGAACUUUAAAAUAAGGCAUUCUGUCUAUUGUACCAGCUAGGAACCCAUCUGGAGCAGGUGCUGGCAAUGCCCACUUAUACUGGUCACGCUUAUGCCUGGUAUUUUACUCCACCUCCUCGUGAAAUGAAGGACUCAUGGAUUUAUUGCCAGGUUUUGUAAGAUACUGCUAAGCCUCCCAUGAUGAUACAUGUAUCUGAAAAAGAGCUGUCUUGAUUUGUUCCAAUUAAUAACAUUAUUAAGUAUCACCAUUUCUGAUGCGUGUUACUGUUCAUUCCUAUUUGGAAAUGUCACAAUGAUGGGUGUGUGUUAUUUUGACCUCAUGUGAAGGUUCCAUGACAACAGUAAACAUUCGCAUUGCAGGUUUUCAUACGGCAGUAAAUCUGGAUGAUGCAAGCAGCCUCAGCCUGCAAAUAAAGAUGUGUUGUGAAACGUCUCAUGCCAGAUGAGACACUCAUAGCUGGGAUUGGCACAUUCAAGGCCACUGAUGGUGAUGACAGAACUCUCCUUUUAGACUUGACAUCAGAUGGAGUUUGUGGCUCACUGGGUUCUUUGUGUUGCUUGGACUGGGGAAUUAAGACUGAAAAGCUUAUUUCUUCCUGCUGAACGGGAAAUGUACUGGCCCCACUGGUUUAUUUGGGGAGUCACAUUUUACCAGAUGCCCGUGGGCAAUUCAUGUAUACACACAACCCAACAUAAACCUUUGUUAUUGUU